CUCAUCUCUUUUUAAUUCUCUAUCCCUACCCCUUUUCUAUCAUUGGUGCUUCAGUUCGACUCUCAAUGAAAGCACCAAUGAUAGAAAAGGGGUAGGGAUAGAGAAUUAGAAAGAGAUGAG
rnacentral:pre_miRNA from 1 species